GACGAACGCUGGCGGCGUGCUUAACACAUGCAAGUCGAACGAUGAACUUGGAGCUUGCUCUGGGGGAUUAGUGGCGAACGGGUGAGUAACACGUGAGUAACCUGCCCCGGACUCUGGGAUAACUUCGAGAAAUCGGAGCUAAUACCGGAUAGGAACUUGCACCCCAUGGAGUGGGGUGGAAAGUUUUUCGGUGUGGGAUGGAGUCGCGGCCUAUCAGCUUGUUGGUGGGGUAAUGGCUCACCAAGGCGUCGACGGGUAGCCGGCCUGAGAGGGUGACCGGCCACACUGGGACUGAGACACGGCCCAGACUCCUACGGGAGGCAGCAGUGGGGAAUAUUGCACAAUGGACGAAAGUCUGAUGCAGCAACGCUGCGUGAAGGAUGAAGGUUUUCGGAUCGUAAACUUCUUUUAUCUGGGAAUAAUCUUGAAGGUACCAGAUGAAUAAGCACCGGCUAACUACGUGCCAGCCGCCGCCGUAAUAC
rnacentral:rRNA from 1 species